UCAUGUAGUCCUAAGUUUCUAUGGAAGGAAUUAUAACAAACACCUUACAAGAAAACAUGUAAACAUAUGUAUUAUAUGCAUAAAAAGGACUGGAAACAUCUUAAAAUACUACCCCAUUCUCUCUGAGGGGCAGAACUGGGGAAUUUAUUUCAAUUUCCUGUACACAUUUCUUGAGGAUUUUUAUAGGCUCUGCACAUUUGUGUUCAGGAAGAAAAACACAAACUAUGAGGGUACAUUAUAUUGAGCUACAUUUAGAAAUAAUCAACUUCAAAAGAGAAGUUUAUUUCUUAUAAAUGACCUAGAAUUCUUCCCAUCUGAAAACAGGUGCAGAAAUGGCCACCUCCAAGUGAGUUACAUAAACAUAUUUCUUGAGGGUGUUUUUCUUCCCUCUCAGAUACUUGUUUUUAUUCAAGAAUAUUACAUGGUAAGUGAAAUGCUAACUUCUAUUCCAUUCUUUGCUGGAAGGAAGUGCUUAUUCAUUAAUUGGAAAGAGAAGGAAAGAAACCACAGCUGCCCAACUGGUUACACUAACCACUUUCUGUUUUCAACAUCUUCUGCCAAAAAUAAUGUCUGGCAUUAGGAGGGGGAGAAAAACAAAUACAGUUGGAGAUUUGAGAAAAAUCAAUUCAUUUUAGCAUUGUGUUACUUUUAUGAAGGGAAAAAAACACAACAAACAUCAAAGAAGUGGUUGUGUAUCACAACCCCAGGUAUUAAAAUAUGAAAUGUCUGCUUACUUCAGUUCCUGAGUUUUGCUUUAGCCAAAAGUUAAUUUUCCUGGAGAAUGUAUAAAGACCCUUGGAUUUCUAGAAAACUCUUUAGUGAACGUGUCAUUAUCCUUAACAGGACUCUGAUGGUUCUCUAAACAGUACAUAUGCUUCCUAAAUUACUGUUUUUAUUUUUGUAAGAACAUAUUUUAUGCAUUAAAAAGAAGUGCUUUCAAAUU